CGGCAGCGCCGCGGUCACCGGCAGCCCAGAAGGACCCCAAGGAGCAGCGGGCAUUGCCUGGAAUGGAGGCACGGACCGUUUGCAGAGGGGCUCAGACAGCAGUUCCCGUUUCUGACCUCCCAGAGCUCCUACACAGCUCCCAGAUAUUGAAUCCCAAGCAGUAUACCUGGGAGAUGCCUCAAAAUCAGAGGUUCAAGCGGGAUGAAGUUUGGAACUUCCCAGGGAGUCAGCUGAAGUGCAGAAGUGAAGGAAAACUUUUGCAGCUUCCCUGGAACCUCUGCUGGCUCCUGACACAGCUGGUGUAAAAGUGGUACCUCUGCAUGGGAAUUUCCACUCUCCAUAAGGCGCUGUCAGGUUAUUCCAGCAGGAAUUCAUCAGGGAACGUGGGGCUGUGGGUGUAACUCACCUGACCUAGCAAAGCUGAUACCAAACCCCAAAUCCAGGCACCCCAAAUCCAGACACCACAUAGAGAACAGUCUCUGUGCUGCCCUGUCAGCUAAAACCCCUGGGCUGGGAAAUUUCAGCAGCCAAAUACAUGGAAUGCUCUAAAUCCCAGCAGCCAGCAUUCCCCAGGGGUACAAUCCGAGUUCCAGGGUGGCAGCUGGCGUCCUUCUCCUGCUGCUGGUGGGACAAA